GGCAUCUCUCGUUCAUAAUUUAUUAAAGUACAGCAUGUUACGGUCUGUGUAAAAAUGGGAUAACACUGAGCGUCGCGUGCCAAUGUCCUGUUUGGCACCACUGACAGAGAAAAAAACAACAACUCGACAUUAAAAGAAUCGCAGAUAGUCUUCUCAGGGCUUCCUGAACCUCCUCCACCAUCUGAGUGACAUUUCUCAGCACUGCUCCUGCAGUUGGGUCAGGGGUCAAGGCCACUUCUGCCCAGCUCUUUGUCUCAGGUCACGUAUGAAGGCCUGAGAGCGAAGUUCUGCAGCCCGAUGUCCCAUCUCCACCACCUCCAGAAGUUCGGCCUGGGACUUCUCAACAGCUUUCAUUAACUCAGCAAACAUACUCACAGUGUCUUGGCAGGAGGGAGAGAAUGAGCAUCAUGGGAUACCAGAGGCUCACUGGAUGAUGUUCUUUGGAAGCGGCUCCUCAUUUCUGGCAGGAAGCCUCUGGGCAG